rfam:Hordeum vulgare subsp. vulgare, WGS project CAJW01000000 data, contig: morex_contig_39708
CAAGUACUCCCUCCGUCUUAAAAUUCUUAUCUUAGGUUUGUCUAAAAAUUAAUGUAUCUAAAUACUAAUACAUGACUAGAUGCAUUUAUAUCUAGACAAAUCAAAGACAAGAAUUUUGGAACGGAGGAAGUACUGU